rnacentral:rRNA from 1 species
GACGAACGCUGGCGGCGUGCUUAACACAUGCAAGUCGAACGAGAGCGUAGAGAAAGCUUGCUUUUUCUACAAUCUAGUGGCAAACGGGUGAGUAACGCGUAAACAACCUGCCCUACGGAUGGGGACAACAGCUGGAAACGGCUGCUAAUACCGAAUACGUUCCGAAAGUCGCAUGACUGUCGGAAGAAAGGAUGGCCUCUAUUUAUAAGCUAUCGCCGGAGGAGGGGUUUGCGUCUGAUUAGCUAGUUGGAGGGGUAACGGCCCACCAAGGCGACGAUCAGUAGCCGGUCUGAGAGGAUGAACGGCCACAUUGGAACUGAGACACGGUCCAGACUCCUACGGGAGGCAGCAGUGGGGAAUCUUCCGCAAUGGGCGAAAGCCUGACGGAGCAACGCCGCGUGAGUGAAGACGGCCUUCGGGUUGUAAAGCUCUGUUAUACGGGACGAAUAAUCUUGUGGUUAAUACCCAUAAGAAGUGACGGUACCGUAAGAGAAAGCCACGG